rnacentral:rRNA from 1 species
AUACGUAGGGGGCGAGCGUUGUCCGGAAUUACUGGGCGUAAAGGGUGCGUAGGUGGCACUUUAAGUUGGAUGUGAAAUCCCCGUGCUUAACAUGGGAGCUGCAUCCAAUACUGGAGAGCUAGAGUGCAGGAGAGGUAAGCGGAAUUCCUAGUGUAGCGGUGAAAUGCGUAGAUAUUAGGAGGAACACCAGUGGCGAAGGCGGCUUACUGUACUGUAACUGACACUGAGGCACGAAAGCGUGGGGAGCAAACAGGAUUAGAUACCCUGGUAGUCCACGCUGUAAACGAUGAAUACUAGGUGUAGGGGGUAUCAACUCCCUCUGUGCCGCAGCAAACGCAAUAAGUAUUCCGCCUGGGGAGUACGGCCGCAAGGUUGAAACUCAAAUGAAUUGACGGGG